rnacentral:rRNA from 1 species
AGUGAACGCUGGCGGUAGGCCUAACACAUGCAAGUCGAACGGCCGCACAGUAAGAGCUUGCUCUUACGGGUGGCGAGUGGCGGACGGGUGAGGAAUACAUCGGAAUCUACUUUUUCGUGGGGGAUAACGUAGGGAAACUUACGCUAAUACCGCAUACGACCUACGGGUGAAAGCAGGGGAUCUUCGGACCUUGCGCGAUUGAAUGAGCCGAUGUCGGAUUAGCUAGUUGGCGGGGUAAAGGCACACCAAGGCGACGAUCCGUAGCUGGUCUGAGAGGAUGAUCAGCCACACUGGAACUGAGACACGGUCCAGACUCCUACGGGAGGCAGCAGUGGGGAAUAUUGGACAAUGGGCGCAAGCCUGAUCCAGCCAUACCGCGUGGGUGAAGAAGGCCUUCGGGUUGUAAAGCCCUUUUGUUGGGAAAGAAAAGCAGCAGGUUAAUACCCCGCUGUUCUGACGGUACCCAAAGAAUAAGCACCGGCUAACUUCGUG